rnacentral:rRNA from 1 species
UCCUACGGGAGGCAGCAGUGGGGAAUAUUGCACAAUGGGCGAAAGCCUGAUGCAGCAACGCCGCGUGAGCGAUGAAGGCCUUCGGGUCGUAAAGCUCUGUCCUCAAGGAAGAUAAUGACGGUACUUGAGGAGGAAGCCCCGGCUAACUACGUGCCAGCAGCCGCGGUGAUACGUAGGGGGCUAGCGUUAUCCGGAAUUACUGGGCGUAAAGGGUGCGUAGGUGGUUUCUUAAGUCAGAGGUGAAAGGCUACGGCUCAACCGUAGUAAGCCUUUGAAACUGGGGAACUUGGGUGGGCGAGAAGAAG